rnacentral:rRNA from 1 species
AUUGAACGCUGGCGGCAUGCCUCACACAUGCAAGUCGAACGGCAGCAUGGAGAGCUUGCUCUCUGAUGGCGAGUGGCGAACGGGUGAGUAAUGCAUCGGAACGUACCGUGUAAUGGGGGAUAACGUAGCGAAAGUUACGCUAAUACCGCAUACGACCUGAGGGUGAAAGCAGGGGAUCGCAAGACCUUGCGUUAUACGAGCGGCCGAUGUCAGAUUAGCUAGUUGGUGAGGUAAAGGCUCACCAAGGCGACGAUCUGUAGCGGGUCUGAGAGGAGGAGCCGCCACACUGGGACUGAGACACGGCCCAGACUCCUACGGGAGGCAGCGGUGGGGAAUUUUGGACAAUGGGGGCAACCCUGAUCCAGCCAUGCCGCGUGAGUGAAGAAGGCCUUCGGGUUGUAAAGCUCUUUCGGCCGGGAAGAAAUCGCACAGGCUAAUACUCUGUGUGGAUGACGGUACCGGCAUAAGAAGCACCGGCUAACUACGUGCCAGCAGCCGCCGCCG